UGCAACUUAGUUUAUUUAGAACACUCAACUUGCACUUGAUAGGAGAGAAGUCUCAGUAGCGG
rnacentral:tRNA from 1 species